UCGAGCUCAAAGCUUAGGGAAUUAGUUUGGUUGUCCACGGAUCGUGCCAUUCUCAAUAUAGAAGAUGCUUUCCGUCUAGAAGAGAAGGUGGUUGAGCUUCUACGCACCAGAAUCGAUCCAUUGAAAAGCGAAGUUUCCCAUUUGUCGCUUAAUUGGGAACUCGAUCAAACUCUAGCAUUUUGUCCAAAGCCAAUUCUGGUAUUCCUACAGUGAUGGGGUUGUUUCUUUCACUGAAACUAUGAGAUGUUUGCAUCUCUGAAGGUUAGUAGGCAAGGAUAGAAGUCUGCUAAAUUUGCUAUGUUAUUUUGUCUUUUGGAAUUCCUUACGCAACUUGCUUGCUUAUACUCUUACAUAGAAGUACCUCCUGGUUAAAUAUUGGAUUGUUUGUUU